rnacentral:rRNA from 1 species
CCCUUAGAUGUUCUGGGCCGCACACGCGCUACACUGAAGGAGGCAGCGUGUACUCCUGGAUCGAAAGAUUUGGGUAACCCGCGAAUCUCCUUCGUGCUAGGGAUUGAGGUUUGCAAUUAUCCUUCAUGAACGAGGAAUUCCCAGUAAGUGCAAGUCAUAAGCUUGCGCUGACUACGUCCCUGCCCUUUGUACACACCGCCCGUCGCUACUACCGAUUGAAUGAUUUAGUGAGGACUUCGGACUGGGACCGAUGCGGCUUUCGGGCUGCGUCGGUAUUCUGGAAAGAUGUCCAAACUGUAUCAUUUAGGGGAAGUAAAAGUCGUAACA